rnacentral:rRNA from 1 species
UACGAACCGUCCAAACGUUACUCGGAAUCACUGGGCUUAAAGGGUGCGUAGGCCGCGCGGAGGGUGGGAUGUGAAAGCCCCCGGCUCAACCGGGGAAUUGCGCUUGAAACUGGAGAGCUCGAGUCAGCUAGAGGUGCACGGAACUUCCAGUGGAGCGGUGAAAUGCGUUGAUAUUGGUAGGAACGCCGGUGGCGAAAGCGCGCAACUGGAUCUCUUCUGACGCUGAGGCGCGAAAGCUAGGGGAGCAAACGGG